UCUGGCAAUGAUGACAAACUUGCCCUCACUGAGAAUAUUUUCAGUUAUGAGAACCUUACUUGUACUCAAACAUAUCUGAGCCAGA